GUGAGGAAUAUUGGUCAAUGGACGAGAGUCUGAACCAGCCAAGUCGCGUGAAGGAAGACGGUUCUAUGAAUUGUAAACUUCUUUUGUGCAGGAAUAAAGUGGGUUACGUGUAACCUUUUGUAUGUACUGUACGAAUAAGGAUCGGCUAACUCCGUGCCAGCAGCCGCGGUAAUACGGAGGAUCCGAGCGUUAUCCGGAUUUAUUGGGUUUAAAGGGUGCGUAGGUGGAUGGAUAAGUCAGCGGUGAAAGUUUGCAGCUUAACUGUAAAAUUGCCGUUGAAACUGUCGGUCUUGAGUGCAAAUGAGGUAGGCGGAAUGUGUUGUGUAGCGGUGAAAUGCUUAGAUAUAACACAGAACUCCGAUUGCGAAGGCAGCUUACUGGGAUGCAACUGACACUGAUGCACGAAAGCGUGGGUAUCAAACAGGAUUAGAUACCCUUGUAGUCC
rnacentral:rRNA from 1 species